CUGCCGCCACUCACUCCCCCCCAGAGUCCCCCCAGCCCUGCUGGUGCCACUGGUUCUGCUGCUAGAAGUAGGGUUUCAAUUUCUAUAGCAGUGUCUCUUUGGAGUUGGAAGCGUCUCUGGGUCGGCGUUCUCUUCUUCCUCUGCCAGCAUGUCUGGGUCAGCGUCUUCUUCUUUCCCCACUGGUGUCCUCUCCUCCCGCCAUUCGCCACUGGCCAGCUAUUUUCCCGGGUGCUAUUUGAGCAGCCUGCGGUUUCUGGAGGCUCUGCCCACGUCCCUCACUGAUCCGCAGCUGUAGGCAGCUCCUGAAUUGCAGGGCCAACAUCCGUGAUUCCUCCUGGCUGCCGCUUUUCAGGAUCCCUGUGUUUCAGCUUUACAACGCUUGAUCAGAUGCAACGCCAUGUCAGCGAAGAAGUUCGCUGUGUCGCUCAUCUCCCUGGAGAACAUCUGUCCAAACUUCCUUGGACACUUUCUUUAAGAAAGUGGACAAGACUCCAGAAAAACCUGC